ensembl:rRNA 5S_rRNA 5S ribosomal RNA
ACCCCAAACACCUGAACACACCCAAUCUCAUCUGAUCUCAGAAGCUAAGCAGGGUUGGGCCUGGUUAGUACUUGGAUUGGAGAAAUGAGUUGCAUGCAUCUUUACUCACUGUGAGAAUUGGAAGAGUC